AGCUACUGCUAGAAAGCAAGUCAGAUUCUGCUUACAUUGGCAGCGGAUGCACUGAAGGACAUCAGGGAAACUCCAAGUCUAGAAAGAUGCCCCACCUUGUGUCAUUUUGAACUUGAAUUUUGAAGAUACUGAGAACCAACAGCAACUCUUAUAAACUUCAUCAACAGCUGGGAGGAUCCAUCUUACGGUGGAAGAGAAACAAAGAUUCAGACCGGACAUUGCGUUUCAGCCUCCAAAACACGA